CAGCACUGUUCACACAGACUUGGUGCAUAGCAACAGGUCAGUGAGCCCUGUGCGCCACAUUAGCAUUCACCAUGGACUAGGAGAGUGACAUUGAGACAUUGAGCAGAAAUGGGAGCUACCAUUUCCUUAUGACCUCACAUGGGAUUGUUUCCUCCCAUCACAGUUGAGCUUCUGGCAAAGUCAGAAUAACACAAUGUGAGGUCAACAUGAUGGCAUAUAUCCUACAGACUGUGUUUACUUGGACAUUCAAGGGAAUAUUGUGCACCUGCAGGUUCCUUUGGAUAUGCCCAUACAAUGCAAUCAAAUUCUUGCCAAGGGAACAACACAUUACAGAGGACACAAGCAGAAAGCGGAGACAACUUGUGGGUUCUGAAAGUAAAGGGAUUGCAGCCAUACCAGGUAGCCCUGACCGUACAACUGCCCUUCAAAAAAGACUAACCAAAACCGAGAAAGAGAUACUGUCAAUCAAGACCAGGAUUGCCUGUGAGAGAGCAUCAUGGGAGAGGAGGUUUUCAGAGCUGCAAAGAAAACAGGAAGAGCUACAUAAUCAGCUGGCCUCUCAGACUGGAGUGUUGGUGAAAGAGGACAGUUGUGAUGACCAGAGAGAGUCAGGAGUGGACAAUGGAGAAGUAUUUGAGAAGUGUUCAAGUAAAUGGCAGUAACGCUGAGUUCAUUCAGAUGUUUUUAUACAUGCAUGCUUUUUAAUUCAAUAAUGAUGUCAACUGCUACUCUCUGAUGAACAGGCGGGUUUUCAAGAAUUAUGUACCAACACAAAGGGUCUGAGGUGCCAUCAAGAUGUGACACUUAUGCAAGCAGUUUGUCAGGCAACCAGUUAUCCUCUUCAUCGGCACUGAGCUCAAGACCUGCCUCCUCCUCAUCUUCAGCCACCAGGGGCUGGAAGCACAUCUACUCUUUCUCCCUCAUUGAGAAAUUCUGGAUAUAUGAAUGCCCCGCCCACCACUGCUGCGUGUUAGGUUGACCUAUGCUGGUGAGAGCAUGGAUGUGGGUGAGAGACAUACAUCCAUGAUGAGAGAGCGGUGCGUGUAAAGAGGGCUAGAGUUAGAGGAAACAUCGGAGAGAUUCAGCCAAAGGUUUGAGCCUCAGUCAGACUCAGAUGAGGAGUCUAUUGUGCACCAAAAUCUGCAACUAGCAGACGUAUAAGAAUGUGUGAGGUUUAUGGAGGACAUCCCAAGGACCUCACCGGGUUUUUGUACCCCACUCCCCCAUGGACCUGGAACUGGGUCACCGGGUCAGGAUCAUGCUGCCGUCUGGACGGAUCAGCACAGGAACUAUUCGUUUCCUGGGCCACCUGCAGGGGGAAGCAGAUCUCUACCUUGGGGUGGAGCUGCAGACACCUGAUCACGGACUGCAUGACGGCAGCCACAGAGGACACAGCUACUUUGAAUGCAAGCCUGGCUAUGGUGCCUUUGUACCAUUCCAUAAACUACUGAUGGCCUGGGAAUGACAAAAGAACAGACUUCCCAUCUGGAUGCAUGGAAAGAGGGCCAGCUGAAUGCAGAACAGUAGUUACAGCCAUGGAUUUGAUACCUUAUUAUAAUGAGAUACAUCUUUGUAUCAAAGUAUAUACAUAAACAUUAUGUUUGUAUGUCAUGUGUGUCUUGUCUGUUGUUCACAAUAAAAAUACCAUUUCAUUAAAUA